UACGAAGGGGGCUAGCGUUGCUCGGAAUCACUGGGCGUAAAGCGCACGUAGGCGGUUUGCUAAGUCAGGGGUGAAAUCCUGGAGCUCAACUCCAGAACUGCCUUUGAUACUGGCGAUCUUGAGUCCGGGAGAGGUGAGUGGAACUGCGAGUGUAGAGGUGAAAUUCGUAGAUAUUCGCAAGAACACCAGUGGCGAAGGCGGCUCACUGGCCCGGUACUGACGCUGAGGUGCGAAAGCGUGGGGAGCAAACAGG
rnacentral:rRNA from 1 species